CUGGGCUGUUGGCUGAGGAGUGGGGACCGGGGGCCAAGGCUCGGAAGCUCGAAGGCCUGAUGGGCUGGCUCUGUGAGGAAGUUGGCUGCAUUGGUUGAGAGAUGUUUUGUUAGAUGAAUCUGACCUUACCUGGAUCUACGAGACAGGUACUCUGUCUCCCAGAGCUUGCCCAAGACCACACAGCGAGAAGCAGGAUUUGCUCUGCUGGCCACUUCUCAAUUCCUCUGACUGCUGCCUCCAAGGAGGGUGUGUUGCCCAGGGAAUUGAGCUCUUACAGUUCGGAGUGCUCAAGCACGACAUGUGCUAUUCCUGGUAGGAGUGAACCCAGCCAUCUCGUCAGAUCCCCAAACACCCUUUUAGGUGGGUACUUCAGACGCUCACGUGGCUCUUGAUGGAGAGGAUCUGGGAUCGCAGCUUCUGGAUGCGCGCGCUGAGGUCAUUGAUCUUGCUGCGGCUUCUCUGGAGGCUGUUCCCAGACUCGGCCGAGCAGGCAGCCCGCUCUUCCAGCUGGAGGCCGUGGAGGAGGCGGCAGUGAGGGGCCACUCACUGUGUCCCCCCAGCACCCUGGCCCCUUGCCCCUUCUUCUUCCUCACCCCGGCGCCACCUCCUCCUCUGGGGGCCACCACUCCCGGCCAGCCUCCCCCUCCUCCCCCCACCACGUCCGUCCGUCUCUGGAUGGCCUCUCCUGGCUGCCCUAGACUGAGCCCCACGGGCCGUGCCCACACCUGGCCUGGCGUUGCCAGGGGCCAAGGCACAGCGCCGGGCUCUCACAUUCUCCUUCCUGCCUGUGAACUCACUGCUGUGGGCUCCGUCCCCCCUGUGUUUCCCCAUUCCCCUCUCCCAGGGUCUCAGCACGCAGAGCUGCAGGCGGCCUCAGCCAUCGCUGCUGCAGCCCGUUCUGCCCGGCUGCAUUUCCCCAGCCUGCUCGUGAGCUCCGAACCUGGCUCCGGGAGUACGCCUUGGCCUCUUCCAGGCUGCGAGCCACGACGGCGCCGUACUGGGCCAUCACCUUCUCCACGAUGCCGCUCAGGUUCCUGACUUUGGGCCCCCUCCUGACCCUCAUCUGUCUUUAUGGUCAGCGAGGCUGUGGCUGAAGCUCUGGCGUCUGGACCUGUGGAUGCCGCUACUCCUGACCUGCAGCUUGUAUCCCUGUGGCUGUGGACCGUGGGGUCGGGCGGCUGCGAGGCCUGCAGAGGAAGGCCGCCCCUCCCCUGUCUGCUCGCUGCCCGACCCUGCCCACUAGCACCUCUGGUGGUCAGGAUCGCCUCCUGGAAAAGGCUGCUUGGGCAGUGGCAGCACCCUGUCUCCACCCUGGAGCCAGCGGGACUCUGAGCUCAGUGGCCAGCCGCCCUUUAGGGGGUUUCCUGAUGGAGAGUUUUGGCUGAUCUUCAGAUGAACUUAACAGAGAUCUCGGAGCGGGGCAGCAGGAGGCCCCAACCCAUGCCAGAAUAAGGUUGACGGUGCCUACGGAUUCAUGCCCCACCUCUGCUGCCUCGGGUCAUUUUUGGAGACUGACAUCUCCCAAAUGGAACGGACAUGCCGGCCGGAGCUUGGCUGUGAACAGUUUCAGAGAUGUAGCUUGGGGCUUCCUCAGUCACCAUGUUGUGUAAGUUGGUGGACUUGGGGUGUUUCAGACAAAGCUCUCCAGGGACACUUCCAGCCCAGGCCUAGGGUAGCGUUUGUUGUGGACCAGGAAAAGGCUAGGGCGCUGUCAGAACACAGGGCACCACUGGGGCAAAAGGAUGGGAGAAACAUAGUGGAUGGGGCAGCCUCAGAUCCUUUCUGGAAAGAGGCAGCGUAAGCAUGAGCAUGGUAAACAGCAGCAGGAAGUGGAGGGUUUAGAACAUCUGCAGACAUGCCGGCCCCUGCCGGGCUGCAGAGGGCAUAACAAUACUGACUUGUGUGGUGUGGAAGUGCCACCAUGGGAUGUGCACCUCCAAGUUGGCAAGAGUUAAGCUGAGGUACAGUUUAGAGCUUCUCUUAGGAGCCAGAGUCUGAGGAGGCUGCCACGUGUAUGACCGCUCUUGUUGUGGUCCCCCAGGUCAGGGAAGAUGGUGACUCUGAGGGGGUACCAGUACUGCUUGGUAAAAUGCAGUGUUUAAUGGCACUGGGGGACUUCCCUGGCGGUCCAGUGGUUAAGACUCCGCGCUUCCACUGCAGGGGGCACGGUUUCGAUCCCUGGUUGGGGAACUAAGAUCCUGCAUGCCGCGUGAUGCGGCCAAAAGAAAAGGGAACUGAGCUCUGAGUACCACCACAUCUUAUUACCUGGGCAACCCUGACCAAGUCUGUAAACUUAGCCGAGCCUCAGUUUUCUCAUUUGAAAAAUGUGUAUAAUUAUGGAACUGAACACAGCUAACAUUUAACAAAUACCAUGUGCCAGGCACUGUUCUAAGUGUUUUAGGAUAUAUUAGCAAAAUAAAUCCUCACAACAGGCCGGUGAGCUAGGUGCUAUUGUUCUCCCCAUUUUACAAAUGGGGAAAUUGAGGCAUAGAGAAAUAAAGGAACCUGCUCAAGUUCACAUAAUCACGGAGCCAGGAUUCAAAUCGAAGCUGCUCUAAAGUCCAUGCUUUCUUAAUCAUUAUCCCUACUUUAUAGGGUUAUUGGGAAGAUUACAUCUGGAAAGCACUCAGCCUGGUGCCUGGAAUGUAGUAGGUGCUCAAUAAGCAACAGCUAAGGAAACUAUUGUUGUGAUUGGUAACGGUGAUGGAGCCGGGAGGAAGUGUCCAGGGCCUGGAGCAGCCUCCCGAGGCACCACGAAGGCAGGUGCCAAAGCAGCUUAGUCAUGCCAGGUCCUUUUUGCAGGCAUCAGAAUCCUAGGUGUGCCUGGCUGCAGGGGGUUGUCAGUGGAUUCCGUAGCUAAUCUCCCUGGAACCAGAGUGUAUGGGUGGGGCACGUGGCGUUCUGGCUGGAUGCAGCCAGGCCCCAGUGCACUUGGGAGCUGGGCUGUACCCUGGAAGCUGAGGGGGAAUGGGGGCCCCAGGGUCCUCUCACAGCCUCUAUUCCUGCAGGUGAGGGGUAAGGGGGUUGCCUGGGAGGCUGCAGUGUGUAGAUGAGGCCCUGAGCAGCUGAUGGCCAUUGGCUUCUGGGAAAGGCCUUUCACAACUUACCCUGGGUGUGUGUGUGUGUGGUGUGUGUGUGUUUUGGGGAGAGGGGAGGGCUCUUUCCUGGGACCCUGGGGUGGGCCUACAUAGCCGUGCUCUUCUGGUGUCUGCUCCAAAGUUGAAACCAGAGAGUCUGGCCUCACCUGGAGCUACUCACAUCCCGCCCUGUUUUCCUUCUACCUGAGGUGGCCACGGCUGGCACCUUCCUGUGCUUGGACCUGCUCUGUCUGAUGUGGUAGCCACUAGUUCUAUGUGGUCACGAAACGUGGCCAGUCAAAACUGAGAUGAGCUGGAGGUGUAAAAUACCAGAUUUAGAAGAUUUAGAAUGGGAAAAAGUAUGUGAAAUAGCCCAUUCAUUUUUUAUAUGGAUUACAUGUUGAAUAAUCAUAUUUUGGAUAUAUUGGGCUAAAUAGAAUACAUUAAAAAUAUUUUUUUCUGUUUCUUUGCUUUUUAAAACAAUGCGGCUACUAGAAAACUUACGACUACCUAUGUGGCUUGCAUAAUAUUUCUACUAGGCAGUG